GUGGGGAAUUUUGGACAAUGGGCGCAAGCCUGAUCCAGCAAUGCCGCGUGCAGGAAGAAGGCCUUCGGGUUGUAAACUGCUUUUGUACGGAACGAAACGGUCCGGGUUAAUACCCUGGGCUAAUGACGGUACCGUAAGAAUAAGCACCGGCUAACUACGUGCCAGCAGCCGCGGUAAUACGUAGGGUGCAAGCGUUAAUCGGAAUUACUGGGCGUAAAGCGUGCGCAGGCGGUUUUGUAAGACAGGCGUGAAAUCCCCGGGCUCAACCUGGGAAUUGCGCUUGUGACUGCAAGGCUGGAGUGCGUCAGAGGGGGAUGGAAUUCCGCGUGUAGCAGUGAAAUGCGUAGAUAUGCGGAGGAACACCGAUGGCGAAGGCAAUCCCCUGGGCCUGCACUGACGCUCAUGCACGAAAGCGUGGGGAGCAAACAGGAUUAGAAACCCCUGUAGUCC
rnacentral:rRNA from 1 species